CAGAUCAGAAGGUGAUUGUGGCUUUUAGUAGAUAUUAAGCAGCCACAGCACUGCCUGGUCAGA
rnacentral:pre_miRNA from 1 species